rnacentral:rRNA from 1 species
UACGAAGGGGGCUAGCGUUGUUCGGAAUCACUGGGCGUAAAGGGCGCGUAGGCGGCCGAUCAAGUCGGGGGUGAAAGCCUGUGGCUUAACCACAGAAUGGCCUUCGAUACUGUUUGGCUUGAGACCGGAAGAGGUUAGUGGAACUGCGAGUGUAGAGGUGAAAUUCGUAGAUAUUCGCAAGAACACCAGUGGCGAAGGCGGCUAACUGGUCCGGUUCUGACGCUGAGGCGCGAAAAGCGUGGGGGAGCAAACAGGG